AGUAAACGGCGGCCGUAACUAUAACGGUCCUAAGGUAGCGAAAUUCCUUGUCGGGCAAGUUCCGACCCGCACGAAAGGCGUAACGAUUUGGGCGCUGUCUCAGCUGUAGACUCGGUGAAGUCUUAGUACCUGUGAAGAUGCAGGUUGCCCGCGACUAGACGGAAAGACCCCAUGGAGCUUCACUGCAGGUUGACAUUGGGCUUGGAUGCAUGAUGUACAGGAUAGGUGGGAGGCUGUGAGCCGUGCGCGCCAGCGUACGGGGAGCCGCUGUUGGGAUACCACCCUUCAUGCAUCUAGGUCCUAACCGGAGGCAACGGGCCACGGGACAGUGUCAGUCGGGCAGUUUGACUGGGGCGGUCGCCUCCCAAAGAGUAACGGAGGCGCCCAAAGAUACCCUCAGCAUGGAUGGAAACCAUGCAUAGAGUGCAAAGGCAUAAGGGUGUCUGACUGCGAGACAUACAGGUCGGGCAGGGACGAAAGUCGGGCUUAGUGAUCCGGCGGAUCCGAAUGGAAGGGCCGUCGCUCAACGGAUAAAAGCUACCCUGGGGAUAACAGGCUGAUCUCCCCCAAGAGUUCACAUCGACGGGGAGGUUUGGCACCUCGAUGUCGGCUCAUCGCAUCCUGGAGCUGAAGUCGGUUCCAAGGGUUGGGCUGUUCGCCCAUUAAAGCGGUACGCGAGCUGGGUUCAGAACGUCGUGAGACAGUUCGGUCCCUAUCUGUCGUGGGCGCAGGAGGUUUGAGGAGAGCUGCCCCUAGUACGAGAGGACCGGGGUGGACGGACCGAUGGUGCACCAGUUGUCACGCCAGUGGCACAGCUGGGCAGCCAAGUCCGGACGGGAUAAGCGCUGAAGGCAUCUAAGCGUGAAGCCCCCUCCAAGAUGAGACCUCCCAUUGGCGACAAGUAAGGCCCCUCGAAGACGACGAGGUUGAUAGGCCGCGAGUGCAAGCGCAGCGAUGUGCUUAGCGGGGCGGUACUAAUAGGCCGAGGACUUGGCCAA
rnacentral:rRNA from 1 species